GGGCUCAAACGCACAGUGACCUAUGCCGAAAGGUAUACUUCUUUUAGACACUGUGCGAGGUGCUGCAUGGUUGUCGUCAGCUCGUGCCGUGAGGUGUCGGGUUAAGUCCCAUAACGAGCGCAACCCCUAUCCUUAGUUGCCAUCAGGUAAUGCUGGGGACUCUAAGGAAACUGCCUACGCAAGUAGUGAGGAAGGUGGGGAUGACGUCAAAUCAGCACGGCCCUUACGUCCAGGGCUACACACGUGCUACAAUGGCCGGUACAAAGGGCAGCCACCUGGCGACAGGGAGCUAAUCUCAAAAGCCGGCCUCAGUUCGGAUCGGAGUCUGCAACCCGACUCCGUGUAGCUGGAAUCGCUAGUAAUCGCGCAUCAGCCAUGGCGCGGUGAAUACGUUCCCGGGCCUUGUACACACCGCCCGUCAAGCCAUGGAAGCUGGGGGUGCCUGAAGUCGGUGAUCCCGCGCAAGCGGGAAGCUGCCUAGGGUAAACUUAGUAACUGGGGCUAAGUCGUAACAAGGUAACCGUAAAGGG
rnacentral:rRNA from 1 species